GAUGAACGCUAGCGGCAGGCCUAAUACAUGCAAGCCAAGGGCUGUUUGGUGUAGCAAUCCAUCAAACAACCGGCGGACGGGUGCGUAACGCGUAUGCAACCUACCCUAUACAGGAGGAUAGCCCUCGGAAACGAGGAUUAAUACUCCAUAAGAUUGCUUAGAGGCAUCUUUAAGCAAUUAAAGCCGCAAGGCGGUAUAGGAUGGGCGUGCGUCCGAUUAGCUAGUUGGUGAGGUAACGGCUCACCAAGGCGAUGAUCGGUAGGGGUUCUGAGAGGAAGAUCCCCGAAGCGGGGACGGAGACACGGGCCCGACACCUACGGGAGGCAGCAGUAAGGAAUAUUGGACAGUGGGUGAAAGCCUGAUCCAGCCAAGCCGCGUGCAGGAAGAAGGCCCUAUGGGUUGUAAACUGCUUUUGAGAGGGGGAAAUAAGGGCGAUGCGUCGCUCGAUGAGAGUACUUCUCGAAUAAGCAGCGGCUAACUUCGUG
rnacentral:rRNA from 1 species